GUUUGCUGCAACCCACACAUGGAGGGCUAAAUUAAGCUGUUUGCACCUUGGCUGACAUCUUCUAAAUGGUUCUGUGGAUAAUGGUGUUUAUCCCCUGUAGAGACGGGGCGACACAGAGGGAAGAACUCAAAGGUUAUAUGUAUUUUGAAACAGGAAAUCUCGCCAUCCUCACCAAAGCCAUUUCCUUGAGAGGAUUUUAUCUGGUUUGUCUCCUUGACUCCAGGCAGGGCUCCAUUCCAACCAGAUGGAAGAAUGCAGACAUCUCACAUCAUUUACACCCAGAAGGCUGUCAGCAGCAGCGCUCAGGGAGUGAGAGUGUUUAAUCUCGAGGAGGAAAUAGAAUGUAUACACACCCUGCAAACUGAGAUGUUUUACGUUGGCUCUGGCUCCUACCGCCCCCCAUGUGUGGCAGCAGCUACCAAGACUCUACUGUGAAUCCCCAUGACUGCAAUGAGAAUGAACAAAAUGAACAACCUGCAGCAACAUGAAUGGACCUCACAAGGAUAAUGUUGAACAUAAGAAGCCAGGCACAAAAGAGUGCAUAUUUUUGUGUCUGACUCCAUUACAUGAAGUUCAAGAAGAAGAAACAUUAAUGUAUGGUUUUGGAAGGCAGGAUGUGGGGAGGUAGUUGGGGCAUGAGGAGGUUUUGGGGGUACAGGGUGGUGGCAGUGUUUUGCUUCUGGUUCUGGGGGAUGGCUAAGUGUGUGUUCAUUUCAUGUAAGUUCAUAUGCAUUUGUGCAAUUGCCUGUAAAGUUGUCAUACUUCGAUAAUAUUAAAAAUAUGAAAAAUAAAAAUAUAAAGCCCAUAUGGGAGAGCACACUUCUCUGCAUUUUUUUUGCACUUUGGCGAUGAGCUGACAGAGGGGUUGUUAACAAGCACCCUACUUGCUCACUGUGCUUGGUAGGAUCCUCAACCUAGCGAGUCCCACCCCAUUCC
rnacentral:lncRNA from 10 species